GGCUUGAUGCUAUCUCAGAUGUCCAUUCAAAAAGAGCUAUUGGGAGCAGCCCUACUAAUUCGUAUUCAUCUUUAAGACAUGAGCUCCUAGGCAAACUCGAAAAAGAUACAAUUCAAGUAAUAUCAAAGCGGUAAAUGAUAAUUAGCGCAUUAAGUGCACAAAAUACAGUAAUAUCAACAAUAAAGUCAAAUAAAAAUCACAUUAACAAGCUUGAAUUCUUAAACCCUGAACCGGAAGUUCUGGGUUGUUCUCCCCAGCAGAGUUGCCAGAGCUAUCACACCUCCUUUUUUACCACCCUGUCGAGGUAUGUGAGAGUUUUACUAAUUAAAGUGACAUUAUUCGAAAUGAGAUUAUUUAUUUAUCAGAGUCGCCACUUGAAAUAAAUUAUGGUGUCUCAAGUCCCCACUUUAUUUUAAAUUCCAAAUUUAGGAAAUUUAAACUUUCCUUUUUGAAGUCUGCAAACCAGAAAUUCUAGAUAAGGAAUUCUGUUAACCCGAGGGAAGGUGUUAGGCACCACCGGAUUCCGUGGUUCUAGCAUGGUCCCUUAGUGAUUAUUACUAGGCUUUAAAUUAUUUAGUUACUCAUUUUUAAGACAUACGUGCAUUUAUCUUUUUACCGCCUUUAAAUCACUUGAUUAUUCGUAAUUAAAGAAUUUAGUUACGCGUACGUAUACACAUUUACUUUGGUGCCUCAAAACCAUGACACACGAACGUGUCCACGAUGAAUAACACUUUGUUUAUUUAUUAAGAAAGUUUGGUUGAAGUUGAGCGAACACAUCCCUCGAGUCUUUUUAGAGUUAAAUUCGCAAUUAUAUUAAGUGAACGUCUAAAUAAUCGCAAUAUUAAUCCAAAUCAAGCCUAAAGCAAACUACGAUCAUUGGUUAUUUUUCUAGGCUAAUUUUGAGAUUAUCAUAAGGUUUUUGAUUAUGGAUAUGGAAUUAUUUGGAAUAAAUUUUAUGGCUUAAGCUAUUAUGAAAUUAUUUAUAUAAAAAAGUACUAAUGUUAAAGCUAAUGUUACAACCCAACCUAUAAGGAUUUGACGGACAAUCCAUAAAUUAAAUGAAACAAAUAAUUUCCUACAUUAAUUUUAUCAAACUACUCCUACCAACGAAAAGGUAAGGAACCCAAUACAAUCAUCUCAUUACAAAGGCAUGCUCAUAAUAAUUAACAAAGAAGCAAAAGUGGGAUCAUCUACAAAUUGUGACUGCCGUUAUUUAGCUUAGAAACUGAGGGACGAGAUUGAUCCUUGGAAUCCAACUCAGUCUGCCAAACUACUACUCUACUUGCUUCAGAUGUAAUUGUUCUCUAAUAAAAUUCAUACAUCUGAGUUGAUAUACAUUGAUUUCCACAUUUUUAGUCAUUGUCACAAUCCUGAAUCACAAUAAAACUUUUAAUUACGCAAACAAAUAAUAAUUCAAUAUGUUUAUCCAAAGUAAAGCAACAGAUUCAAACAAACAAAUCAAUAUUUCAUUCACCCGAACUAGCAAAAAUCAUAGAACUAGAAGUGUACAUACCUAAUACUUGAAAACAAACUUGUGAGGCCAAAUAAUGGCUAAGAAAAAGGCAAAGUGGAGCUCAGCUUCACAAGACCAGCCGAAUCAACAUCCUCUCUCAGUCGAAAGCUUUAGAAAACUCAGAAAUUUGGAAAAAUCAAUAGCUACAACUUCAUAUAACUUGCAGAGAUCUCUUAGUAGUUUAAACUUUUUGUUUUUAACCUUUUUUUGAAUUUUUUCUGUUUUCGAUCGGAGGUUCAAGAUUUGGAUUGAGAUUUUGUUUUUUCUUUGUGAAUGUGGAAGAAUUUUCCUGGAAGUCCCAAUUGGACGAGUGCGCCCAUUCUCUUUCUGGGGCAAGUGACGGUGAGAAUGAAAGACGUCAAGAAAAUGAAGAAGAAGAACCAAGAGGCGUCCAAUGGUCUUUGUGCCGUUCUAGGAGUAAGAGAUUUU
rnacentral:lncRNA from 1 species